CCCCCCACCAAGCACUAUACAGGUUCAAAUAAAUAAAUAAUAAUACAAUCAUUUUUGCCAAACAGUAUUCUGACAAUACUGUUGAACAAAUAAAAAUAGCAACAAUGAGUUUAUUUAUAUCACAAUAUUUUGGUGAGUUAAAUAAGGUUAACAAAAAAAAAAUGGAAGUUUGUACAACAGAAAGUUUUGUACAAAAAGUUCUGCAUCACAACAUUAUGUACACAAACUCUUCAUUCAGUCUGAUUCAUGUCUA